CAACCCUACCAGCCCCUCCAGUUUAGAUGUGGCAGUGGCUCUUUGCAGCUGCGAUUUCUUUCUCGGAGCGUCCUCCCCAUCCCGUUCGGCCUCUGCCUCCACCAUCGUCUCUGUAACCCGUUCCCUGUGGGAGAGUCCCUGUUGCAGCGUUCAGAGGUUUCGGUUUUCCGGCUGAACUUAACGCGUGGGAAGGCGCUGACGGCAAGGUGGCAGGAAGAAAAUUCCAACACAGACCACAACACCGAUGGACCUGGAAAACACUGUGCUCAGUGAAAGAAGUCAGACACACAAGGACAAUGUUGUAUGAGGGACACAUUCCAGCAAAAAGACACAAAGUGACAGAAUGGCUGCCUUUCAGUAGGGGGUGAGAAGAGGUGGAUGGCAGGUACCAGAAGAGAAGGGAAUAAAUAUAUGAAGAAAAACGACCCCCUCGGGCAGUGCCUGGCACAGCGUAAGUGCCCAGGAAACAGAGGCCCAGCUGUUCACGUUCUGGGCAGCAGGGCUGGGACCAGCGCCGGCUUCCUGGUUAAGGAGGUCACCCUUUCCUCUUGAGGGGUCUGAGUAUGCAUGUCAGUACCUGGUGGGCAUGUAGCACCCAGCUGACCAGGGGCCUUCCCCUCUGUGGGUGUCACCAGCCUGGCCCUGAGAACUGGAUGAAAGCUGGAAUAAUUCUUCCUGUAAUAAAGCAAACGCGACCA